GCCAAAACUGAGUGUCAGCUAUUUGAUAAACGCGCCAUUUCUGAAUAUGUGGAUCCCCGGAUUACUCGAUUGAAAAAUCUUUAUACCUCAUCCAUUCCUUGUUAGAAAUCAACGCUUAAGGUGUGUGUUAUUAAAAGUGUAUUGAACGUCGGCUAUGUCUUCCCCAAAGAAGCAACCAUGCCCAAUCUGCAGAAAAGGGCUUAAAAACCCUACAUCCCAAUGUGCAAGUGGUCACAAAGUAUGUAACGACUGUCUGACCACUCCCUCAACACUUUGUCCCAUCUGCAAUGCCUGGAUCACCAAAAUCACCCCUCCAACAGUCAAAUGCAAGUACUCCAACAGAAGCUGCAAGUACGUCAUGACAGAAGAAGAAUCAUACAUCCACGAGAUGGAGUGUAGAUUCCGAGAUUUCAUCUGCGAGGGGCACAGAUUUGGAUGCUGGAACUGCCCCUGGGCAGGAAGAUACGACCAGAUUCAAGAUCACUACAAGAAAGAUCACGAGGACAGCACUGGGAUGCUGUUCAAGACGGAAGCUAUGCUCAAGAUCGAUCUCAAAGAGAACUUUCGAAGCAUCAGCCUCAUUGAUUUCCACGAGGGUCAGAACUUCUUCUGGUUCAAGUGCAGAGUGGAUAAGAAGAGAAAAAUGUUCUACUCAACCGUUCAGUUGAUAGGUACUAGAAAGUUAGCAGGGAAGUAUUGCUACGAGUUUGAGAUAUUCAAAGGGCCUGUGAGAAAGAUUAAAGUGACGGAGAUAUGUGAUUCUGACGCUAUGGAUGCUGAGAGGAUCUUCGAUAACGAAAAUUGUGUCGCAAUAUCUUUUGAGACUCUCAAGAACUAUCUGGAUGAGAAUGGGGUGAUGAGAUUCAGGUUCAGGAUCAUGAGCAUCAAGAAAAAUUAGGUUAUAUUGUAUUAAAGAUUUUUUUUAUUAUUUUUUUUUCAUAUUUUCUUGAAACGCUUCCAUAGUCAAGCUUUCAAACAUUAAUUUUUGUUCUUGUUUUAUAUUCAACCAUCCACAAUAUUUAUAUACUGUUUCAUACGAAACUAUGAUUUAGUUGUGGAAUAAUAUUAUGUUAGGUUAGGUUUGGUUAGUUCCAUUAUUAUUUUUUCCAUGUUGGAUUGUUUUUUAUUUAAUUAAAAAUAUCAUUAUAUAAUGUUAUAUUUUUUUAUUUAUUCUUAAAUUAAUCUAUUACAUUGAAUUUUGCAUCAAAAGUUCUUCACAUAGAAUAAAAAUUAUGAUAAUGACUUAUUAACAGAAAAAUGAUUUUCGUAGGAUAAUUCUGCGAAAUAAAAAUUAUUUCAAUACAAUAAUAAUUUUCGAAAGGAAUGAGUCUUUUCCGAUAAAUAAGAACAUAUGUAUCACUAACAUUCAUUUUCUAAUUCCAAACAUACUUCUCAUAAUUUCUACCAGAUGACAUUUAGUUGAUAUAUUUUCUGUAUGAAAGAAAUCUUCCUCAUCCUUCAAGAUUUGAAUUACUUAUAUCAUUUCACUAUCUGAUGUAUCUUGAAUUAUUAAUUCUUGUUACUACACUCAUUUUCAUUUCUCUAGUUUAUUGGCUGAGAAAAAAAAGGGCAUCGAAAAUGUAUGGGUCUAUGAACUGGACUUGUGUCUGUUGCGACAACAUGUUCAUGACUACCUCCUUCAACUUCUGCUCUGGAAACCACGUGAUAUGCAGUGAUUGCUACGACGUAAUAAUCCCCUCAGAAGGGUGCCCCAGGUGCCACAUCCAGAACAUGCUACGCUUGGAAGAUAACCAGCGCCGAAGGUCACUCGAAGAAACACCAGGUUCAUCCGCUGGAGAAGGUCCACCAGGUGCUCCAUUCGAUGGGCCCCUCGAGUGCAAGUACAAGGACGAGGGAUGCACUUACGUUCCGCCGGAACCUUGGAGUCUGUGGAGGCACACAGAGGGAUGCAAAUUCAGACUCUACUCCUGCGAGGGGUCUACACUAGGUCUGUGGAAGUGCGGUUGGAGCGGUAACUACUCCGAGGUGCAGGAGCACUUCCAGAAGGAGCACCCCAACAACUUGGAUCUGCUACGGAGCAAAACAAAUGUUUCGAUGCGAUUGGACGUUUUUAGGGAGCAGGGAGCCCUCCAGAUUCUUAAGUUCGACAACGAGCUUUUUUACUACAAGCACAAAAUAGAUCCCAAACUUGGACGUUUAUACGUGAUAGUGCAGAUGAUUGGACCAGAAGAAAAGGCUUACAAGUAUUCAUACCACUACGUUAUUAAAAAGAACAGCAGGACCUUGAGUAUUCGAGAAGAUUGUCAGAGUGAUGGUACACCCAUGUCUUAUUUAUUGAAUACAGAGAAAUGCAUCGUUAUCUCCUUAAAGAACUUAAGGACGUACAUGGACAAUGAUAAACUUGUAUUCGAUAUAAUUAUAAUGUUUAGAUAGGAGAAGAGAAAAUAUUUUUUGCAUUUUUAAAUUGUUGAAAAUUUGUACCUCAAAGUUCAUUUUUUACUUCUUUGUUCAAUGUUUAUUGUUCGUUAUAUAUCUUAUUGUCAUUAAUCCUUUAAUUUUUUUUUAUUGAAGAUAUUUAACUGAUGAAAACAUGUACCUUGGUGAUUAUUUUAUUGUUAUUUAUUGCACUUCUUUUAUGAUAAUGUGACAAAUUUAACAGGUUUAUAUUUGUUUGCAAUUGAAGUUUGUUGUUAUAUUUCCGAAAUAAAAUACACUUACACAGUAA